GAGUUUGUAUCGUGGCUCAGGAUGAACGCUGGCGGCGUGCUUAACACAUGCAAGUCGAACGGGUUUAGGCCCGUGGCGGACGGGUGUGUAACGCGUGGGAAUCUGCCUCUGGGAGGGGGAUAAUAGUUCGAAAGGACUCGUAAUACCCCAUAUGGCGAAAGCUGAAAUGAAUUUCGCCCAGAGAUGAGCCCGCGUCUGAUUAGCUAGUUGGUAGGGUAAAAGCCUACCAAGGCGACGAUCAGUAGCUGGUCUGAGAGGAUGAUCAGCCACACUGGGACUGAGACACGGCCCAGACUCCUACGGGAGGCAGCAGUGGGGAAUUUCCGCAAGUGGCGAAAGCCUGACGGAGCAACGCCGCGUGGAUGAGGAAGGCCCUUGGGUUGUAAAAUCCUUUUGUCAGGGACGAAUUCUGACGGUACCUGACGAAUAAGCAUCGGCUAACUCCGUGCCAGCCGCCGCGGUAAU
rnacentral:rRNA from 1 species